AUUACCUUGGGAGAUCGAUGGUAUCGUUUCUUUGUUCCUUCUGAUCUGGUCUCUUUAAAGACACUUUCGAGGACCGUGGAAACCUCGCUUCCCCCGUCUGUUGUCUUCUCUCUCUCUCUCUCUCUAGCAUGGCGGAUGCUUAUUGGAGGUACGGCGACUCACGGCAGCCGCCGUCGCAGUCGAUCCCCCAGAUUGUCGGAAAACGCUCCCGCUCCGACUACGAUAUCCCUAGUGGUCAUGAGCUGCCAAGCUAUUUUUCUCGUGAUGAUGAUAGAGGAACGCUUCGCGGAAUUAGAGAUACUGACUCCAUUGGAGCGUCCUAUGAUCGUUACCUUCGCAGUGCACAAGUUUCUUCUUAUGGUGGGGGACAAUCUGCUAGACCACUUGGUGGGGGAUUAUCGGGUCAUGCUGUCGAUGAUCCGCGAAUUGUGGGUAUUGGGAGUGUGGAACCAGGUACUACUGUGAAGGACCGAACCUUGGGAUUUGGAGGUGGAAGGCCUGAGGUUCCCCUUCCUCCCGAUGCUUCCAGUACACUAUUUGUCGAGGGCUUGCCCUCCAACUGUACACGACGGGAAGUGGCUCAUAUAUUUCGUCCAUUUGUUGGUUACAAAGAAGUGAGACUCGUAAGCAAGGAAUCAAGACAUCCUGGGGGAGAUCCAUUGGUACUUUGUUUUGUCGAUUUUGUAAGUCCAGCCCAUGCUGCCACUGCCAUGGAUGCAUUGCAAGCAAAGCCAAAGGCGCCCUUGGAGGGAGUGAAAAAGAAGGAUAUGCAUACCAAGCUUAUGAAGAAGUACAAAUCAGUUCCUACAAGGUGGUUUCUUGUCAUCCUUGUGCCGAGCAUUGCUUUCAUAAUGUUUGCUUGUGAGUAUAACAAUGUCAAGCUAUAAUUUCCUUGGCGGGGCGAACUGCUAGCUUGUGCCGUUUUCCCUUUUCUUCACUCUUCCAAUUGGUGUCAUCACUGCCACCACCACAAACCAGUGCUGAUUCAGAUGCCGGGUUUGAAUGUUGGAACACAUGAUGCAUGUGCUUCAAGGUGUUUGGAUGCAUCAGCAUGAUUCAACCUCUAAAUUUUGCUGGCAGACUUUUAAGCUUGGCAACUACAUGAAGAUUUCACUGAGGUGGAUGCUCAUGACACAGGUGGUUCACAUAGCAGUAAUGGCUGGUACACACAGGAACUCUAUGCUCCCAAAGGGCAGUCCCUGGAGUUUCCCAUUGGUCCGUGUCUUUCCUGAGGCAUCUUUUAUCUGUGGACUUGCUGGACUGAUAUGAAUAUUCGGAAACCUCGGUUACGGGGAAUGUUAAUUGAUUCUUUCAGAAACCUUGGUGAAUAUGGGAAUGUCAAUUGAAGAAAAUAAGUAAAAUAGAAUUUGAAUGGAAUUUCUAUUUCUUAAUUGAAUGAUUGUGUGCUGUAAGAUGGCUUUAUUUAUAGGGAAAAAGAAAGGCAAGUGAUGUAAGGAAAUAAAUAAACACAAGAUUUUCUGACCUAGAGUAUUUACAUUGUUUAACAAUAUUGCCAUAA